AGAGUUGAUCCUGGCUAGGACGAACGCUGGCGGCGUGCCUAACACAUGCAAGUCGAGCGAGGAGAUCCUUCGGGAUGAUCCUAGCGGCGGACGGGUGAGUAACACGUGGGCAACCUGCCUCAUAGAGAGGAAUAGCCUUCCGAAAGGGAGAUUAAUACCUCAUAACAUUGCAGUUUCGCAUGGAACAGCAAUUAAAGGAGUAAUCCGCUAUGAGAUGGGCCCGCGGCGCAUUAGCUAGUUGGUGAGGUAACGGCUCACCAAGGCGACGAUGCGUAGCCGACCUGAGAGGGUGAUCGGCCACAUUGGGACUGAGACACGGCCCAGACUCCUACGGGAGGCAGCAGUGGGGAAUAUUGCACAAUGGGGGAAACCCUGAUGCAAGCAACGCCGCGUGAGUGAUGACGGCCUUCGGGUUGUAAAGCUCUGUCUUCAGGGACGAUAAUGACGGUACCUGAGGAGGAAGCCACGGCUAACUACGUGCCAGCAGCGGC
rnacentral:rRNA from 1 species